rnacentral:lncRNA from 1 species
CCUGAAGCCAGCGAGACUACGAGCCCACCGGGAGGAACAGACAACUCCAGACGCGCCGCCCUAAGAACUGUAACACUCACCGCGAAGGUCUGCAGCUUCACCCCUAAGCCAGCGAGACCACGAACCCACCAGAAGGAAGAAACUCUGAACACAUCUGAACAUCAGAAGGAACAAACUCUGGACACGCUGUCUUUAAGAACUGUAACACUCACCGCGAGGGUCCGCGGCUUCAUUCUUGAAGUCAGUGAGACCAAGAACCCACCAAUUCCGGACACAGGAGGAUCGCUUGAGCCCAGGAAUUCAAGACCAGCCUGGGCAACCCAGCAACACUCCAUCUCUACAGAAGUUGUAAAAUUAGCUGGGCGUGAUGGGGCGCAUCUGUAGUCCUAGCUACUUAUCCUAGCCUUGGCGAGAGGAUCACUUGAGCCCAGGAGGUUAUGUGGUCCUUGGUCCAAAUGAAAGGUCAGAGCACCCACUGCGCAGUCAGAAUGGCUGGGGAGCGGGAGGAAAGGGGAGGAGCAGAGUGGGCAGUCCUCAUACACACUCACACACAAACAUUCACAUACAUCUUCACACACACCCACGCUCACAUACACACACACAUAUUCAUAUACACAUUCACACACAUCCAUAUGCGCCGUCACACACACACACAUAUUCAUAUACAUCUUCACACACACCCACGCUCACAUACACACACACACAUUCAUAUACACAUUCACACACAUCCAUAUACAGCUUCACACACACCCACACACAAACAUUCAUAUACAUCUUCACACACACCCACGCUCACAUACACACAUAUUCAUAGACACAUUCACACACAUCCAUAUACACCUUCACACACACACACAAACAUAUACAUCUUCACACACACCCACGCUCACACACACACACAUACAUUCAUAUACACACAUUCAUAUACAUCUUCACACACCCACGUUCACAUACACAUAUUCAUAUACACAUUCACACAAUCCAUAUACACCCUCACACACACACACAUUCAUGUACAUCCUCUCACACACACACACAUAUCCAUAUACACAUUUACACACACCCACACUUAUACACAUUUACACACAUCCAUAUACACCCUCACACACACCCAUACACACAUACACACUCACAUUUAUAUACAUCUUCACACACACAUUCAUAUACACACUCACACACAUUCAUAUACACAUUGCCACACACCCACUCAUAGACACACACACUCAUAUACAUCUUCACACACCCACACUCAUAUACACCUACCUACAUUCAUAUACACACACUCACAUACACAUUCACACACACAUUCAUAUACAUUUUACACACCCACACACUCACACACAUUCAUAUACACAUUCUCACACACCCACACAAAACACAAAAACAUUCAUAUACAUAUUCAUAGACACAUUCACAUACAUCUCACACACCCCACACACACACACAUUCAAAUACAGUCUCAUGCACACACAUUUAUAUACAUAUUGUCAUACACACACUCAUACACACUCAUAUACGCUCAUACAUUUAUAUACACAUUCUCACACCUCGACACACUCACAUGCACUUAUCUAUACACUCAUACAUGGAGACACUCAGAUACUUAGAUACACACACACAUACAUGCAGACACACACUCCAACACUCCUACACACAUUCACCCCCCUCACACACCCACACAUGUAUAUACACUCACAUCCUGAAGCACACUCAGACACAUACUAACUCUCAGAAACACACUUAUCCCUCAGAGGGGGUAGGACCAGCCUAGGAAAGAGUCCUUCUGGGAGAAUGGCAUGGCUGGUGACUGCCAAGGGGUAGGCAGAAGCCUAGGACUGGGCAGGGAGCCCAAGAGUAGGGGGUGGUGCUGUGGGCCACUGUGCAGAGGCCAGGACUGUGAAUGAAGUGGGCACUGCUCCUGCCCCCUCCCAGGCCUGCCUCUGGCCAGGCCAGCCUCCAUCCCGGCAUUGUCUCAGGCAUCUUGGGCAGGGUUCCCAGAGCUGGCUGAACCAGGGGCCUGGCCAAACAGCCCUCCCCUGCCCUCCCAUUCCUCUCUUCUUGCAGGGAGGGGGUGGGAAACCUUCCCCAUAACCCUGGCAUUUCACCCCCAGCCCACACAGGUGGCUUUUGGAGAAGCUCAAGUGCCAGAAUUUGACCCGAAAACUCCAGGUUCCACAACGCCCCCUGCUUCCUUCCCAGGCCAGGAAGCCUUGGAAGUCCAGCCCCCACCAACCUGUCCCCUCAACUAUGACAUUCAUUUCUUUUUUUUUUUUUUUUUUUG